rnacentral:lncRNA from 13 species
GUAGGCAUGGUCUACUUUGUUUGCUGUACAGGGUCUUCAUGUUGCUCUACACCCUGAUUUGGUGUAUGUACUCUGGCCUGCUGUUCUCCAAUCUCAAGUGGCUUCUUCAGCCACCUGACCUACUGCCUGAUGGUCAUCUACCACCUGGUUGCUUCCUGUAACCUGGCCUGUGCCACAGUCCUAGUCAGGUGCCACAGCAGGGACCAAAUAAAGACCUGCUCUGGAGGGGACCAAACUAGAGAGCGUGGAAUCGGAGCAGAGCCCUUGGGUCCUUUCCCUCUCCCCUCUCUCCUCUUCAUCUCCCCGAGACUGCAGUGGUUCCUCCACAGCCUGAUGUGUGCCUUCUGCCUCGCUGUGUCCUUCCUCUACUGGAGCCUUGACUACCCCAUGGAGAACCACCCUCUGUCCCCAUUCAACCUCAAAAUGCACAUGGGAAAUUCUGCCCAGGCCCGGCUGGACCUUCUCCUAUCAGCAACGCCCAUCUACCUGGCCCACUACCUCUAUCAGCUCCUCAUUGGCUGCCUUUACAUCCUGUUUGCUGUGGUCUACUGGCUGGCAGGCCAAACCAACCUCAGUGGAAAGCCCUACAUUUACAAGACUGGAGAAACAGCAACUUCCACACAACUGUCACCUCCUGUCAGGGUCCGGUCACACUCCACAAGCUCAAGCGCCCGUCAUCCCAGCUGUCCCACUGAAUACCAUGCUGUGUAGUAGGUGAGUCGUGACUUGCAUAUUGUAGUGGGCCAGGCUAUGAAUGGACAUAUUUCAGUCACCCUGCUGUAUUUCCAUAACAACCACUACAAGGGGCCAGAGUGUUUUAGAGGGGAUUACAUAUACACAUUUCUAAUGUCCAUUUUUCUAAUGACUUCUGAUCCUAUAGCAGAUUUGUACUAUAGUGAAGGUUGUCAAGGCAGAUAGAAACCAUUUGCAGUGUCUCUCAGAAAAGCACUCCUUGACUAAUAUAUACAGUAUGCAUUUAUACAGUUUAGUUCCUAAACACUGAGCCAACUAUCUUGAAUAAAACUCAUUCUCUGUCAUUCAAAUGUACAUUCAAAGUUCUGCAUGAAAUGAUUUCUCAAGUUGGCUAUUCUUGGAUCUGUAAUUGUAAUGUGGGGAUGUGCACUAGAAGAGUGAAAGCAUAGGUUUGUUUUAGGGCAUGAGGGUCUGCAUUAAAAUCACAUCAGUGUUACAGUUUAAACUAAAGUUAGCACAAAGAACGUCACCUUGUGAUACUAAAUCAACCUUCCAGACUACCCAUGACUCCAUUCCCGCAACAUGAACAUGUAAGAAGCGUGUUUGAUACAGUUCACCUGCAGUAAUAACCUUCCAGUCAUGUCACCUAAUUAACCCUUAGUAAUUGCAAGGACUUGGUCUUGAUUUGUUGAAAAUGUUGACAAAUCAGACAGGCGUUGUCCCGUGUCCUCUGGCGACCCUGCUGAGUGUCUUGGUGAGACUCCUCUGGGUCCUCUGGCCCUGUUUCCACUUGGACAACAUGAGGCCCAGCUAUGGAGGGGUUCUGGGUUUUGUGGUAAAGGGCAGGAUGCCACUGCUGGUCAGUGGAACUUUCCCAUCCUUGUCUUAUGGUCAACAUAACUGUGUCGUCUUUCAGCAGCUUGAUAGAGAAUAGUUUUUCCUCAAUAUUUUAGAGAAAUGUGUCAUUUCUCCCCAGUAUUUACUUCCUCUAUUUUAAUUAAGACAUAUUUUCCACAAUGCUGAUUACCAAUAACAAGCUGGUCUUUUGUGAACAUUUUACCAUUUGUAAAUGUCUUCUGGCUAGUACAGUACCAUCAGUGUCAUAAAUCAGAGGUAAAGUAACGGCAAAGUAAAUACAUGAACAAUAUGUCCUUCUCUGAUUGUGGUAAACCUGUUAAGUAAAGUUCACCUUUCAGAAUAUACUGUAGUUCUUGUCCUCAUUUUACUGGAGACAUUUUGAAACCCAUUUUCUUUCCUCCCAACAAAAAGCCAUGGCAUUUUUUCAACUUCGUAUCUGAGAUGACUUUAAUGAUCUCUAAGACAACUAAGACAGUUAGAAUUACAGUUGACUCCUGUGAGGUGAUCAUUGGAUAAGUGCAUAGAUAAAGGAGAAAAAACUAAAUGUAAUUAGAUUAGUCUUUAAUGCUUCCCACAGUAUAUCACUUUAUCACUAAAAUAGCCAUGCAUGAUUCAGCAGGUGAGCCUUUAAUAAGUGUAAUUGAGAGAUUAUGUGAGGCAUGUUCUCAUUACACUACUAUUUAUUAUCAAAUUAUACCCUAUUAUGAAUCGUAAUAAAACUGGACUUUUUGUGAUUAAAUGAGUGCCAUGGGCUACUCUACUGCAGCAUGUUAUGUACUGAUUGGCCUAUGUUGACUGGAACAGUCUUCAUAGCCUCUAUUGUUCCUUUUAACAUCAGAGCACUAUUUCCACUAUUGUCUCUGAUUGUUUACGAACAACAGUCCCAUUAACCGUGGCGGUCCACACCAAACUAAAUCAAAGACUCUCUUUGUGCAAUGACAGAUCCAUUUCCAAGCCAUUACAGUAUGUGGACUGAAUGACCAGGUUUACAGUUAAAAUUAGUUUGACGUAGUUGGAGAUUGCAGCUUGUGUGUCUGUCAUUCAUGGCCAGCCCCAGGAUUGCGCUGUGUCCCGUGGUUUCCCAGCAGUCCCGCUGCUGCCCCCGUCGGUUGUUUUUGGCAAGGAUGAGAUGAGCAUGCAGUCUGCAGAAAUUCUAAUAUGGUGUAAUUGCAGACUGCAGUUCUGGGCAUUUCUUGAUGUGGGUGUUCCCUGAUAUCGGGAAAUGGCCAAUGAUGCAUGCCAUUGGUCAGUUCCGGUGUUAGGAGACUGAUUGUGUCUCGACACAGAUGAUUUGUUUACAUAGUAGAUUACCAGGAUGACAUGCUUGAGAGGGAAUUUUAAAUCCAUGGGGCACACUAGCAUUGCUUUAGAUCCCUAAUAAAACAAAGUAGAUUGGUCCUACUACUGUUCAGAUGUACAAAAAUGUAUCUGAAAUGUAGCCGCACACAUCAACAGCUGUCAUUUUAUAGAAUAACACAGGAAAGAUAUGCACCCCACCAUGACAUACAAGUGUAUUCGAAAUGCAUCCGUAGCUGCCGCAGGCCGACGCAUAAUUUGCACCUAUCAACACGCAUGAAUCAGCUUGACAGAAUGAGCACCACUAGGCUAUCAAAGAUUCUUACAGGCUUCAUCGCUUUAACUUCAAUCCUUUGAACUGUAGGCUACAUUGCUUUCGAGUUUGUGACACUACGCAAUGAGCGUAACCAAGCCGCCACUUUCUGUGCGGCACACACACACACACACACACACACACAGACACACACACACACACUAUCGCAAGUAUGACUUUUACAGUAGCAACUAAUGUGUAUGGCAAAUAACAGAGUGAACAUUUGCCUACUUCUUUUAGUAGGUUACACAUGGUAUUGGUCCUACUACUGCGACAUUCAAAAUGUUUAAAAAAUCUGGCCUAUCUGAAGUGAAGCCAUAUACACAACAAAUGUCAUUUUGCACACAAGAAAGCACACGGUGUUGAAGAGAAGCCCCACAAAGACUGGUAGCCCAAGAUGCGCUCAUUAAAAUAGCACAUACCAUAACCAUUGAUUCAGGACCAUGCACAGAAGGCUACCACCAGUCAGCAUGAUGAAAGGGUAACGUUAAAUGCUCUGCCAAUUUCAGCACCACCAAAGUGGACAGCCAGGACAACAGGAGCACUGUGCCAAUAAGCUACAUUGGUCAUUGGUCCCUCUACCCAUCAAAUAACACAUCUGUAUAUCUAUCAAUUGCAAUUAGACCCGCAAAAGCAAGUAACGACAUUAAGAAUCACAGAUCAAUCUUAAAGAUGCAUUGAAGUAAAAAGCAAAGGCCUAAACUUUACAUGACAUAAAUAAUUUAGCCAAACAACCAGUAGGCUCACAGGAGGGAAAACCAAUGGAUGAAUCAUUUUGGAACAACGGCGAGUGCCAUAAAGGUUGUGGCUUACCAUUUAGAAGAGUUGCAGCCUCCUCAAUGCUGUGUUGAACCUCAUGAGAAGUUUCUGAUUCCCUUCCUUUUCCUGGCGAAAUGUACUUGUCAGGUCCCCCUCAAAUGCCAGCUGGAAAAGUUGGGUUUUUCAUUGUAACAUAUUCUUUGUUCAGAGUUUAUGUUCACUGAAUAUGUUCUUCAUGGUGGAGAACACAUGUUUGCACAUUGCUGUAGAUGCCCCAAUUUUUUGUUGUUGCAUGUUUAAGUUCCAAUAGCAUAGUCGGCAUUACUGACAACGGCUGUAUCUUUGAAGAACACUGAGUGAGGACCAUUUGUUGUUGAUAUGGUUGCGAUUUCACUUCCCAAGAAUGUGCGAGCCACAAUAAACUCUGCUUCCACUGGUUCAGUUUUGGUUAGAUUCAACCAGUUGUCAGGUGCUAGUGGCUGAGGUAACGGUGGUGCAGGUGCUUGUUGUGAUGUUACUCUCCUGCUGCUGGUCCUAGGCCCUGGCUCUUCUCCAUCGUGUUGGUCAGAAGGUGGCGUGGGGGAUGGGCUGGUAUUACAUUUGAUGAUAGGCUACUCAACCUUGGAUUUGGCCUGCAGGCUGGUCGGUGAGCUUGGCAUCACUCUCAACAUGGUGCUCCUCAGUUUUUUGGCUCUUGGCAGUGCCCAGACAUGUUUGGAUAUCAAUGCU